rnacentral:rRNA from 1 species
CUCGGGUGGCAGCAGUGGGGAAUAUUGGACAAUGGGCGAAAGCCUGAUCCAGCCAUGCCGCGUGUGUGAAGAAGGCCUUCGGGUUGUAAAGCACUUUCAGUGGGGAAGAAAGCCUUGGGGCUAAUACCCUCGAGGAAGGACAUCACCCACAGAAGAAGCACCGGCUAACUCCGUGCCAGCAGCCGCGGUAAUACGGAGGGUGCGAGCGUUAAUCGGAAUUACUGGGCGUAAAGCGCGCGUAGGCGGUCUGAUAAGCCGGUUGUGAAAGCCCCGGGCUCAACCUGGGAACAGCAUCCGGAACUGUCAGGCUAGAGUGCAGGAGAGGAAGGUAGAAUUCCCGGUGUAGCGGUGAAAUGCGUAGAGAUCGGGAGGAAUACCAGUGGCGAAGGCGGCCUUCUGGACUGACACUGACGCUGAGGUGCGAAAGCGUGGGUAGCAAACAGGAUUAGAUACCCGUGUAGUC